UCAGAUGAGAGCGAGAAUCGAACUAUUAUUGAAGCAGAAUAAGCUCUCUAGGUAGGAUGUCAAGGACGUACUUCAGGAAUAUCACGACAAUGUUGGUGACCUGGAAGGUCCUGAAGAGAAAGAAAGGGCACAGUCAAAGAUCCAGAAAUUCAUCUCAGCAUUUUGACCAUGUCCCAGGUAAAUCCUGCUGAAGUAUCUGAAGAUGUUUCAAUUGAAGAAUUCUGUCAAGGCUUAGUGGUGGUGAUUUUGUAUUAGCACUUUGUUCUCCCAUCUCGGGUCCUUGGGUGUUCUAUGCAGAGUUGUCCUUUGAUGUUGUAACUUGGUUGAAGCAAAUAGUAUUCUACUUGGAGUUAUGAAAGUAAAGAAGAGAAAAGAUGUGAUUUUCUUCUCAAAUUGAUCGGGAGUUUAUGAAAGAAAAAAAAAUGAUUUUGAACA